UAAUUGUGAGAAACAGAAAGCAAAACUUUUAUUUCCAAAUUACCCCGGGGCAAAAAGCACGAACACGGAGUCCUGCUGACCUCGUUAGGUCACAGACUGCAUUUUAACAAGGAUAUUUACAAGGGCUGCUACCUGGAGAAAGUUCGCGUGUGUGCCAUUCUUGCCUUUAAAGCCGACAGUGUUUGUUUUUAAUUGAUUACACAUUUAACUUUUGAGCAGUUUCGGGGGUGACUUGAAAUAUAAUAAGACUUUUUUUUCUAAUUAUUAUUCAGGGUCGAAAUAAAAGAGGAAAUGUCUUUAUAAUGAUUCACCCUGAUUGCUUGUAUUUUGUUGGCUUUUUUGCUUCUAAAAAGCAUUUUUCUCUCCCAGUGUGGUUUUACUCCAAGUACAGCUAUAACUUAAAUCAGUGAUAAUGAAUUUCACACUACAGAGCUUGAAUCUAGGCUACGGUUACCGCACAAGCGGUGGCUAAGUUCAAAAACUUGCCAAGAGGAGGUAUUUAUCCUAUUCAAAACAGGUAGCUUUAUUCGUCUCGUAUGACUUAAGUCAUGACUAGGAAUUAACUUCAAAAGUAGCAUAAAAGCCCUUAAAAAUUAAGUUAAUAAAACAGAAAAAGGGUGUGAGCAGGGGUUAAAAUGGGCUUUCCUGUUGCCUUCAUUUAUACAUGUAUUCCCUUAUACUUUCAGAGGCCUGGCUGAGGUCAUUCCGUUAGUUCAUCAGCCAAGAGUAAUUUAGGGGUCUGUUUUCUGCCAUAGACUGUUAGGAGCGGACCCAGGCCUUACCAAUUUAUGGAAAUCGAGAAUUAAGAGCAAAGAGCCAAAAAACGUUCCAUUCCCCACAAGUGGCCUGUCCGCAGGGCCUCAAGCCGCCAUGCUUUUGAAGCGAACACCCUCACACAGUGGGCAAACGUCCACGCGUUCAAUGCUAGUUUUGAGGAUGGAAAUCUCCAAAGGACACGUUGUGCUCGCUCACGCGUUUUCCCUGGAUUUUCUUUCUCACGUCUGACGGUCCGUGUGAUUUCACCAAAGCCAGGUUACAGGUUUAGGUGACACCCACCCGCCCAUGCAGUCCACACCCGCUGCCUUAGGCACGUCUCACUCAACCAGACUUCAAAGUGUAGAAAGAAUUAGAAGGAAGGGACGGAGAUUUGUCUAAAUAUAGUCCCGGUCUGUUUACUUUGCAUUCAAGAAGGGGUUUCUCGAGGCAGUCAUCACAAACCCCUGCCGAGGAGCAUCUCUUAAACUGCUCCCUGGCUUCUUGACAGCUACGCCAUCUACCCGUGGGACCUGGGCCUCUGCUUUCGACCAUCCGCAGAGAUUGCCUGCAGCUUUUGAACGGUAUACAACAAUAUGGGCUCAGGCUGGCGCUUCAGUUAAGAGCUUACGCUGCUCUUGCAAGGGACUUGGGUUUGUCCACCACACUCAUAUGGUAGCUCCACCACCGCCUGCAGCUCCAGCUCCAAGGGAUGGAUAGUACCCUGACCUCCACAGCACCGACACUCACCAUCUCGCCAGAUCCAAGAAACAUGGGACGGUGCCACAUAGCCUGGGACAGCAGUAAAAGGACCAGCUACCACACCCCAGCUUUCUCAGGUUCCCUAAAGAUGAUCGCCGCUGCCCCCCAAGUCAGCUGGAAGCAGUCUUGAGAAGUCAGUGCCCCGUUUCCCUGCCCUACCUGGCACCCCCUUUAAUUCCUCACCUUUAAAAAAUUAAAA